AUCUGGCGUCUGAGAGAGCCUGGGGACUGCUGCGCCCUGACGCGGUGGCACACGCAGGCCCCUCCUGGGGUGCUGCGGGUUUCUGAGCUGGGGGACAGAGCUGGGAGGGCGGCACACGCACAUGCAGUCCUCACCCAGCAGGACCGACGGGAGGGGCUGGCAGCCGGGCUGUGGGCGGCCAAAGGUCCCCGCAGGCGCCCAGAGCUCCAAUUUAUGCCGCGGUCAGCGCCCGGGCGGCCAAUGAGGCCCCAGGGCCUCCACCGCGGAGAGCGCUGGAUGGGACGCGGGGAGAGGGAGAGGAAGGGGCUGGGGGCCGGAGCGCCUGGCCGCCCGCCGGCCUCUGACGCCGAACAGAUGCCGCUCGGGCUGAGGUCACUCCUCCCCUGGGCGGGGGCCACUCGCCGCACCCCUUCCUUUGUCUUCCCCUGGCCCUCCCCUCCCCCCAGUCCCCUCCUUCCCAUCAGGCCCUUCCUAGUGUCUCCCUAGAGGUGGUGCCAAAGCCAGCAGGGAGAGCCGGGCUGCGCAGCCAGUGCGUGCCGCCCUCAGGACGGGGUGGGACGAGGGGGCCCCUUGGCAGAUGCGGUCCCCGCUGGGGGGCAGCAGGGGGGGGGUCCGGCCCUGGGCUUUGGGUUCAGCAAGCCCUGCUGCCUCCUUCCGGUUCACAGGGCGGUGCGGAGUGGCCGUGCUGGCCAAGCUGCUGGCCCCCGUCCCUCCGAGGGGCAUCAGAACCCCGCAGCUGCCCGCCCCCUCCCCAGGCCCCCGGCGUCCUCCUUGGGGGAGAGCCCCAGGGACUCAGGGAGGCAGCAGGGGCCGUGGCAGAGUCUGGAAAAUGCUCCCAGACCCUGGUCACGGGGUCAGGAGCUGGGAAGCCAAGGCGGUGAGUGGUCUCACUCGCGGGAGCCUCCCAGGGAGCUUUAAAGCUUGGAAGAAAGCGCUCUGAAUUCUGAAGCCAUGGUAAUGGUUUACAUGUUCCCCCAAAGAGAGAAAAGAAACAGAAUCAACAAGAAUAGAAUGCAAACAAAAGCAAACGAUCGAACCGUGUUUCAAGGAAAUGACAUGCCUGUGGGAAAGGGGCUGCAAACCCGGGCCUCAGGCCGCAGGCAGAGUCCGCCUUGGUGGUUCCCCAGCCUGGUGGGACCCCUUACGCUCCGAAAAAUCACAGACCCCAGGAGCGCCUGUGUCGGGGGGUGACAUCAGCCGACCUCGCCCUGUUGGGGACCCUCAUGGAAACACUCAGGACACUUUUACUGACUCACUUUAGAGUGAAAAUAAACUGAUUACGCAGCAGCAUAAACAGAAGAGAUUUACAGAAACAACCAUCUUUUUCAAAAAGAGCCUCUGCGAGGAAGCGGCUCGGGUGGCUGUCUGUCUGUCUGUCUGUCUGCCUGGGGGACCCGGCCGGAGGCGCUGGUGGGCGUCCCGCAGAAAGGCCCGCCUUGGGCCGACGCGACACGAGGGACGCUGGCUGGACGCCAGGGUGUGCCUCGGGGCUCCUGGGGAGUCCCUACACCCUGGAGAGGGCACGAGUGGAAAGGGCCGAGUGUCUGCUCACGACCUGUCCUUGGAGAGACGUGGGAGGUGGGCCUGGACCCCACCCCCACCCCCUGCUGGCUCAGGCGCAGCCUCAACAGUGGGGGCCUUGGGGCUGGCCCCACGUUACAGGAGGCUCCCCUCCACCACCCCGGGGCUCCACCUCCGUGUGCUGCUGGUGGAGACUGAAGGCUGGGACCCGGGCGGGGCCGGGAGGAGGGUGGCCAGGGGCACGUCCUUUGGUGGCGGUAUGUCUGCCAAGAGCAUGCCUGAGAGGACACUCAGGACACAUGGGGCGUGGUGAGGGGCCAGUGUUUGGCUCUGCUCAGAGGGGGCACAGAGGGAGACCUGGGGCCAGGGGACCUGCGGCGGGGAGCCUGGCCAGGCGGGGUGGGCUCACACUGGUUCUGGACUCCCUGCCGGCCGCUCUGGCCCUCAGCCUCUUCUGCUGACCCGGACGCUCCCGCCUGUCUCCCACUCGGGCUCGGGUAGAGCAGCAUUUGGGGAGCAUCUACUGCCUGCAAACAGAAGGCUGCUCUGCACACAAGGUGCCCCCCCGCCCUGUAAGUCUGUCCAUUCGUUAACACCUCCUGGGGCCCGGCCCUGGGGACACAGAAGUGACCCACAGGCAGUGCCCCUGCUCUGGGGCCGUGGGCUCUGCAGACCGGAAGCGUUUUGCAGGCUGCGUUCUUAUGUGGGCUUGGUUGUUCGGUGACCCUCAGGCCAGUCACUCCGGGGUCGCUGUAAGUGACUCCUGUAAGUCGCUCCGGGGUCAGUCACCUCAGGGGGCUCCAGGGCCAGACCCCCUCGGCUUUAACGGCUUCGGCGGCCCCCCGAGCCCUCGCCCCACCUCAGAGCCUCUGCAGCUCAAAUUAGCGACAGCAGACAGCACAGGAUGAACGCCCGCCCGCCACCAGGCCCUGCCAGGCGUUUGCAUUUUAAAGGGUGCCUUUAAGUCUCGGCUGGCUGCGGGUGGGUCUGUGCUGCCCACACCGGCCUCAGUGGGCGUGGAGCCUGCAGGCGUCCACGCGAUGCUGUCACCCUGUGCCCAGGGCUGUGGCGCUCUGGCAGCGGGGCCGGAGACAAGGGCUCUUUCAGGGCCGGCCCAGGACAGGCCCACCCAGCGCCCCGGGGACACGCUGGCUCCUCGGACGCACACAGGCCGGGAGUCUGGCUCCCCUGGGGCCUGGGGGACAACAGGCACGCAUUUGUUUGCUGGUCUGUCCGCUCACCAGACGCUGACCAAGGGCCCGGUUCCUGCCAGAUGCCGCAGCGGCUCACACAUGCUUUCCACCCCUGAGGCUGGACCUCCUAGCCGCCACCCGCUCCGCUCCUCCGCCCCCGGGCGUGGCUCCCCCUGCAGCUCCCUCUACCCGAGGGGGUCCCCAGGGCCUGGUCAGCAGCCGGCUUACAGUCCGGCGCCUGCAGGGACAGGGAGGGGCCUCAGGAGCCCGCGGUCCUGCUGCCUGGACGAGCCUCCGUCUGGCCUCACCCCUUCUGGCCUCAGGUCUCCCCCAGCAGCUUUUCGUCUUCUGUGUUUCUUCUUGGACAUCCCGCAGCACCGGGGCUCCCGGGCCAGGAAUCGGAUCUGAGCCGCAGUCGCGACCUAAGCUGCAGCUGCGUCCACACCAGAUUCUUAACCCACUGUGCUGGGCUGGGCAUCGGCCCUGCGUCCCAGCACUCCCAAGAUGCUGUGCCAUCCUGUUAUGCCACAGCGGGAGCUCCUCUUUGAGCACUUCGGGUUGUGGGCCUGAAUCAGGUCACGGAGCUCAUGAUCCAGCGAUUGUGGCCUCUGUGGUCCAGGAAAGCACUGGAGGGGGUGCUGGCACGCUGAACCCCCACCCCCAGCACCCGGUUCCCAUCGGUUCCCAUCGCUCCUGCAGAGAUGCCCGGCUGACCCUCCACGAGGGUCACCCCUGCGUUGGAGCCUGGCGCGAGUGGGCCCAAGGACCGGGGGCCCUGAGUGACCCCUGGCCAGGCCUGCAGCCCGGCUUUACCGAGGAGGCCACCAGCUGCCAACCGCAGGUCUGGGAGGAGCCGGGCCUCCGUCCGGCCACGCACGCGGAUCUUCCCUCCGCUGGGCCGAGGGAAACACAGGCCUGUCUGUGCGGAAUCUGCCACGCAUCCUCCGCCCAGGGGGCCUGCCAGGACCUCAGCAAAAACAGCGGAGCAAGGACCUCUGAAAACAUGAGAAAACAGGCAAAAAUUGUCGGAACGGACUUUUCCAGUACUCUGGAAAUUAACCCCACGCUUGUGGCAGUCUUUGGAGAGCUGGUUUGUGUGUUUUGUUCUUCAGUCAAGAGAAUUAGCCGAAUCUCGGUAGGAACAGCUGUGAGGUCUUGUUUUUACCGUCGUCACCAGCCAAGUGACAGCCCAGUGGCAUGAAGUACGCCCCACUGUUGUGCAGCCGUCACUGCCUCCGUCCGCAGAACUCGUCUGAGCUCCUGAAGCUGAAACUCUGAAGCUUUGCGCCAGGAACUCGCUGUCCCCUCCACUCAGCCCUGGAAACCCCGCUGCACGUUUGUCUCUGUCACUUUGGCGACUCUAGAAGCGGGUAUGAGCGGGAUCACGCGGUGUCUGUCUUUGCGACUGGCUUCUUCACUGCCACCGUGUCCCCGGGGUCCCCGUUCGCAGCCUCAGACUCCCUUCUGUUUUAAGGCCGAAUCGCCCUCCAUGGAGUCUGCUUGUUCGUCCCCCUGGCCGUGGAUGUGCGGGUCGCUUUCCCGUCUUAGCGGCUGUGAACAGGGCAGCCGUGAACACGGGGCAUCGAGAGCCCUUCAGGGCCCUGCUUGCCAUUCCUUGGGGUUCAGACCCAGAGGUAGAAUUACUGGGUCGCGUGGUAGAUCAACUAUUUUCAGCACUUUGAGGAACUGUGCUCUGUGGCUGCUGCACCAUCUUAUCUUCCCGUUAUCAUUGGGCAAGUGUGCCACUCUCUCCGCCCCUCCACGCUCUGAGGGGCUUGAGGCGCCCUGGGCCCACCCACCACUCUCCAGUUCUGCGGUGACCUUGAAAAUGAACAGCCCAGGAGUUCCCGUACGGCUCAGCAGGUUACAAACCCAAUGAGUAUCCAUGAGGAGGCAGGUUCAAUCCCUGGCCUCACUCAGCUGCGUCUGCAAUUCCAUAUGCUGAGAACUAGCCCGAGAAUGUCCACAGGCUGCAGGUGCAGCCCUCGAAAGGAAAAAAAAAGAAAAGGCAGUGAAUGGCAGACGAGACGAAGUAAAACAUGAUCUUACUACGUGCUGUUGGCUAAAGACAGACACUGCGUUCAAAGACGCAAGUAGGUUGAGGCGGAAGGGCCGGCCAACAACAGAGGGGGUGUCUCCAGCGACGGGAGGCAAAGUAGACUUCAGGGCAAGUGUUAGGCCAGAGACAGAGGGGCACUUUGCGACGGUGGAAGCGUAAACCUUGCGGAGGACGUGACCGUUACAAACACACCUGAACCUGACCCCAGAGUCCCGGCGUUUGGGAGGCAAAAGCACAGGGGAAAGGUGAGAUGGACCAUCCAACCGUAAUAACUGGAGACUUUCAGCUGUCAGUAGCCUGAUUUCCACAUGGACGAAGCAGCGAGACGGCAGGUCAGGAGGAGGUAGGAGACUUGAGCAACUCGCGUGACCCACGGGACCCUGCAGGCGUCUCUGGGACACGCCACCCACGGCAGCGUCCCCAGUGCACACGGGAGUCCUGCAGAGUAGACCGGGUGGUUAACUGUUGCGAUAAACUUAAAAAGUGCUUGAGGAGUUCCCGUCGUGCCUCAGUGGUUAACAAAUCCGACUAGGAACCAGGAGGUUGCGGGUUCGAUCCCUGGCCUUGCUCAGUGGGUGAAGGAUCUGGCGUUGCCGUGAGCUAUGGUGUAGGUUGCAGACGCGGCUCGGAUCGGAACCUCCAUAUGCCGCGGGAGUGGCUCAAGAAAAGGCAAAAAGACAAAAAAAAAAAAAAAA
ensembl:lncRNA